GCCUGGGUGGCUCAGUGGUUGAGCAUCUGCCUUUGGCUCAGGUGGUGAUCCCAGGGUCCUUGGGAUCGAGUCCCACAUCAGGUU
rnacentral:tRNA from 1 species